GCGUAAGCGCGCGCAGGCGGUUUCUUAAGUCUGAUGUGAAAGCCCACGGCUCAACCGUGGAGGGUCAUUGGAAACUGGGGAACUUGAGUGCAUAAGAGAAAAGCGGAAUUCCACGUGUAGCGGUGAAAUGCGUAGAGAUGUGGAGGAACACCAGUGGCGAAGGCGGCUUUUUGGUCUGUAACUGACGCUGAGGCGCGAAAGCGUGGGGAGCAAACAGGAUUAGAUACCCUGGUAGUCCACGCCGUAAACGAUGAGUGCUAAGUGUUAGAGGGUUUCCGCCCUUUAGUGCUGCAGCUAACGCAUUAAGCACUCCGCCUGGGGAGUACGGUCGCAAGACUGAAACUCAAAGGAAUUGACGGGGGCCCGCACAAGCGGUGGAGCAUGUGGUUUAAUUCGAAUUAACGCGAAGAACCUUACCAGGUCUUGACAUCCUCUGACAACUCUAGAGAUAGAGCGUUCCCCUUCGGGGGACAGAGUGACAGGUGGUGCAUGGUUGUCGUCAGCUCGUGUCGUGAGAUGUUGGGUUAAGUCCCGCAACGAGCGCAACCCUUGAUCUUAGUUGCCAGCAUUUAGUUGGGCACUCUAAGGUGACUGCCGGUGACAAACCGGAGGAAGGUGGGGAUGACGUCAAAUCAUCAUGCCCCUUAUGACCUGGGCUACACACGUGCUACAAUGGAUGGUACAAAGG
rnacentral:rRNA from 2 species